rnacentral:rRNA from 1 species
CCUACGGGUGGCUGCAGUGGGGAAUAUUGCGCAAUGGAGGAAACUCUGACGCAGCAACGCCGCGUGAAUGAUGAAGGCCUUAGGGUUGUAAAGUUCUGUCUUCUGGGACGAUAAUGACGGUACCAGAGGAGGAAGCCACGGCUAACUACGUGCCAGCAGCCGCGGUAAUACGUAGGUGGCAAGCGUUGUCCGGAUUUACUGGGCGUAAAGGAUGCGUAGGCGGAUACUUAAGUCAGAUGUGAAAUACCCGAGCUCAACUUGGGUGCUGCAUUUGAAACUGGGUGUCUAGAGUGCAGGAGAGGUAAGUGGAAUUCCUAGUGUAGCGGUGAAAUGCGUAGAGAUUAGGAAGAACACCAGUGGCGAAGGCGACUUACUGGACUGUAACUGACGCUGAGGCAUGAAAGCGUGGGGAGCAAACAGGAUUAGAUACCCCAGUAGUC